GAAAGAGUGACUGAGUGGUCAAAAGUGAGUGAUUGUAAAUCAUUUGGUAAAAUUCCUACAUAGGUUCAAAUCCUAUCUCUUUCA
rnacentral:tRNA from 1 species